rnacentral:rRNA from 1 species
GAUGAACGCUGGCGGCGUGCCUAAUACAUGCAAGUCGAGCGAACAGACGAGGAGCUUGCUCCUCUGACGUUAGCGGCGGACGGGUGAGUAACACGUAGGUAACCUACCUAUAAGACUGGGAUAACUUCGGGAAACCGGAGCUAAUACCGGAUAAUAUUUCGAACCGCAUGGUUCGAUAGUGAAAGAUGGCUUUGCUAUCACUUAUAGAUGGACCUGCGCCGUAUUAGCUAGUUGGUAAGGUAACGGCUUACCAAGGCAACGAUACGUAGCCGACCUGAGAGGGUGAUCGGCCACACGGGAACUGAGACACGGUCCAGACUCCUACGGGAGGCCGCAGUAGGGAAUCUUCCGCAAUGGGCGAAAGCCUGACGGAGCAACGCCGCGUGAGUGAUGAAGGUCUUCGGAUCGUAAAACUCUGUUAUUAGGGAAGAACAAACGUGUAAGUAACUGUGCACGUCCUGACGGUACCUAAUCAGAAAGCCACGGCUAACUACGUG